rnacentral:rRNA from 1 species
GACGAACGCUGGCGGCGUGCUUAACACAUGCAAGUCGGACGAAGAGCGAUGGAAGCUUGCUUCUAUCAAUCUUAGUGGCGAACGGGUGAGUAACGCGUAAUCAACCUGCCCUUCAGAGGGGGACAACAGUUGGAAACGACUGCUAAUACCGCAUACGAUCUAAUCUCGGCAUCGAGGAUAGAUGAAAGGUGGCCUCUACAUGUAAGCUAUCACUGAAGGAGGGGAUUGCGUCUGAUUAGCUAGUUGGAGGGGUAACGGCCCACCAAGGCGAUGAUCAGUAGCCGGUCUGAGAGGAUGAACGGCCACAUUGGGACUGAGACACGGCCCAGACUCCUACGGGAGGCAGCAGUGGGGAAUCUUCCGCAAUGGACGAAAGUCUGACGGAGCAACGCCGCGUGAGCGAUGACGGCCUUCGGGUUGUAAAGCUCUGUUAAUCGGGACGAAAGGCCUUCUUGCGAAUAGUGAGAAGGAUUGACGGUACCGGAAGAGAAAGCCACGGCUAACUACGUG